rnacentral:rRNA from 1 species
AGAGUUUGAUCCUGGCUCAGAAUCAACGCUGGCGGCGCGCUUAACACAUGCAAGUCGAGCGAGAAAGGGGAGCAAUCCCUGAGUAAAGCGGCGUACGGGUGAGUAACGCGUGGGUAAUCUACCUUUUUGUGGGGAAUAACCCUGGGAAACCGGGGCUAAUGCCGCAUAAUCCUGUGAAGGGAAAGCAGCAAUGCGCUGAAAGAGGAGCCCGCGGCCGAUUAGCUAGUUGGUGAGGUAAUGGCCCACCAAGGCGACGAUCGGUAGCCGGCCUGAGAGGGCACACGGCCACACUGGCACUGAAACACGGGCCAGACUCCUACGGGAGGCAGCAGUGGGGAAUCUUGCACAAUGGGGGAAACCCUGAUGCAGCGACGCCGCGUGAGCGAUGAAGCCCCUCGGGGUGUAAAGCUCUUUCGGC